CAGCCAUAACUUUGUUUACGUUUAUCUGUCAAGUUAAGGUAAUUGGGAUGCUGCUCUACUAGGACGUUUCAGGUUAUCAUGGGCUGUGACUUGCCUUAGGACUACGCAUGCUUUUACUAGACUGAGCUCAUGUCGGCCCCCGGGGAAGGCAAGUCAGGGCAUGGCGGCGGCGGCGGCGGAGGAGGAGGCCUGGGGGGCCCCGGGGGGGACGGGCGGCUCCUCGUCACGGAGAUCCGACACCACAACUUCGACGCCAUCCGCUUCGCCUCCUACAGGACCGCCGCCAAGCUGCGCUUCGUCCAGAAGAAGACCAACAGUGAGUGCAGCGCUCUCUCUUUGGGGUCAGGAGGAGCACUGGUUGGGUUGCUGUCAUUCAGGUGGGACUGCUGGUGCCGUCAGCACUGGCAGUGUUCGUUUGAUCAUGCAGUGGUAUUGUUAACAUUAUUGUGAGUAUUACACGGGCGCUCACGCACACGCAACGCACAUAA
rnacentral:misc_RNA from 1 species